rnacentral:rRNA from 1 species
UACGACUACAUAUCAGGCAUAUCAAUAAGCGGAGGAAAAGAAACUAACAAGGAUUCCCCUAGUAACGGCGAGUGAAGCGGGAAGAGCUCAAAUUUGAAAUCUUAAAGGGUUUCCCUUUACGAAUUGUAGUUUAAAGAAGUGUUUUCUGUUGGAGUUUCGGUAGAAGUUCUUUGGAAUAGGACAUCAUAGAGGGUGAGAAUCCCGUAUUUGACCAUUAUUUCCAGCUGUGUGAUACACUUUCAAAGAGUCGGAUUGUUUGGGAAUGCAGUCCAAAAUGGGUGGUAAAUUUCAUCUAAAGCUAAAUAUUGGCGAGAGACCGAUAGCGAACAAGUACCGUGAGGGAAAGAUGAAAAGAACUUUGAAAAGGGAGUUAAACAGUACGUGAAAUUGUCAAAAGGGAAGCGUUUGACACCAGUGUUGUUUUCUCGAAAAUCAAUUAAAAAUGAUGGGAUUUUGUAUUGUUAUGACCUUAUCAGCUUACUGUACUUUUUUCUUGCUCUUUUUAAUGCACUCUUCGUUUAACAAGUCGACAUCAAUUUCUUUUGUUGUAAAAGAGGUCAUUGGAAGGUGGCUUUUCACUUCGUGAAAAGUGUUUAUAGCCUUUGGCUUCUGACAAUCGGAGAGAUUGAGGUCUGCAGCGUAGAUCCUUCGGGGUUAGAUACAUUAGAUGCUAAGUUAUAGUUUUUUAUAGACAACUUGUUGACUAUAAUUAAUCAUGUAACUUACUCGUUUACUGCUAUUUUACCUACGCUUAGGAUGUUGAAUCUGUGCGAGACUAC